rnacentral:rRNA from 1 species
CCUACGGGCGGCAGCAGUGGGGAAUAUUGCACAAUGGGCGGAACCCUGAUGCAGCAACGCCGCGUGAGUGAAGAAGUAUUUCGGUAUGUAAAGCUCUAUCAGCAGGGAAGAAGAAAGACGGUACCUGACUAAGAAGCCCCUGCUAACUACGUGCCAGCAGCCGCGGUAAUACGUAGGGGGCGAGCGUUAUCCGGAUUUACUGGGUGUAAAGGGAGCGUAGACGGGUGUGUAAGUCUGAAGUGAAAGCCCGUGGCUCAACCGCGGAACUGCUUUGGAAACUGGAUAGCUUGAGUACUGGAGAGGCAGGCGGAAUUCGUGGUGUAGCGGUGAAAUGCGUAGAUAUGAGGAAGAACACCAGUGGCGAAGGCAGCCUGCUGGACAGAAACUGACGUUGAGGCUCGAAAGCGUGGGGAGCGAACAGGAUUAGAUACCCUGGUAGUC